rnacentral:lncRNA from 1 species
UUUCAUCUAGGUGUGUUGGAAUAUUGCAUCCCUCCUGGGUUAAUAGAUCCAGGGUUCUCUUAAGCAUAGGCCUUAUUUAUUUAUUUUUAAAUUUUCCAUAUGAAACAACUAAGUUACUGGUUAUGAACUUCUAUAUUUUACUUAAAAAUGGUUUCCUACCAGCAUUAAGCUUUUCUAUGGCUCCUUUGCAUAGGGAGACAUGACGAUGAUCAAAAUAACUAACAAAUAGAAUAAAAUGGUAGAUUUUCUCAGUAAAAGAAUCGCUGUAGAAAUAUUUUUCUGGAAAAACAAAUCCUCUGUAAGUCUCCAUUUAUCCUGAAGUACAUUUUACAAUGCCAUCCAUUAGGAGUUAGAGAAAUAAGAACCAAAAUAUAGCAUGAAAGCCCAACAAGUUGAAUGUUGGUAAUUGAUGUUUUUCUGUUUUUGGAGAUGCCCAUGCAACAUAUAGUGCAAGCAUUGUUAAACCUAAAAAAAUGGUUCAGCAUCUAACAAUGAAUUACUACUAUCUUCUCUGAACAAUAAUAACUCAUCCUUCUCUGAACAUUCACACGCAAUUCAAUGAAAUGAAUUGUCUGUUUCAAAUACAAAAGUUCUACUACUAACAAUGAAAGGACUUACAUCAAAUCUGGUAGCAAUACCAAGUCGCAGGAUCCGAAGUAAGCGUUCUUUAACAGCUGCAGGUAAUGAGACAACAGCUGCUUCAUAUGGAUCAGAAUCAGGCACUGGCUCCUGGAUAGCACAGAUCAGAAGUUAAUCAAUCACAACAGAACAGCGAGCAUCAAGACUAAAAUGUAUGUUGAUCCAUGAGGUACCUGCAAAGAGAUAAAAUGGAUAGAUAUAUCACAAUUCAACAGAGAGAGACAUGAGAAUUAUUAUUAUUAGAGUAGGAGGCAGUGCAGAGAGCAAAUCCUUUAGAUACUCUUGGCUUGUGUCGAGAUAUCAAUUCCUCCAUAAAGUGGCAUUGGUGAGCCUCCAUAAAGAGAAUGAUCUUCCCCCUUUUUCUACUUGUAUUCCUUUUUGGGCUCAAGCACAAGGGCAGAAGUCCAUGCACUUUCCCAAAAUAAGAGAGCUCUACUCCUACAUGAGUAUAAUCAUGUCUUACAAUUUUGAGUGGCCAUUAACGUACACUGUGCCAGAGGAAACACUCAACUGAUUGUUUUGAAGUAAAUGGAUACAAAUAUUGGCGUGUUUUAAUGGGCCUCUAGUCACAAUUGGUUAAGCAGAUUGGCAGUGAGCACAUAAUAAAGCCAACUUUGCAGAUGAGCUUCGAUGAAUAACAAUCAAGAAUUCACAAUUCUCAUAGGUGAAGCCAAUCGACCAUAUUUUCAGACAAAGAAUUCACAAAUUCCUAACAAAAAAGAGCUUUUUCUUGUUGGGUCAGAUUCCCCACCCAUACAUGUCCCCAGUUCCCCCUUAGCUGAGACUCUUUCUUUAUGGCUAUGGAGACGGAGGUUAGUUUCAUUUUUCCCCAGGACAGGAAAUGCAACAAUUCAUUAACAAAUCAAUCAACCAAAAACAAGGAUGAACUAUGAUUUUUAGGCCUGGCUCAGGCAGGCUGGGCAAAGGAGUCAGGUUCUGGGUUUGAUUCCAAGAAAAGAGAAGUAUAUAUCUAUAUAAAAAGGAAAGGGUGAGAGCUAUCCUCCAAAAUUCCCAGGAGAAAAGUUUGAGAAGAUUUCCCUGAAAAACUAGAUAGCAAAUAUAUCCAAAAAAGCCCAACAUAGAAUCCCUCAGAUAUUGCAUGUAAUCCCUAACAAAAUCCUUCAUUGAAGAGGUGACAAGCUUAUCCAGCCAGUUUGCUUCUUGUUUGAUGAUCUAGGCAUCCAAGAGAAGAAACAAACAAAUCUAUUGAGAAUAACAAGACAACUGCAACAGGAUACUAAGAAAGAAGUAAACUGCAUCAACAACUGCCAAAGACAAAGAGGAGCAUAUCUAAUAUCCUCUGCAACUUCCAACAGUGACAUAUCAUGAAUAAGAGUAAUAUGGUUUGACUCGCUCGAAUCCACUCGAAUCCACCACCCCAACACCCUCGAAGUAUCCAACCAAUACAGCGCAGAAAAGAGGAGAAAAUACCACUCUAUAAUCAGUGAAGCUGCUGUAGAAAGCAUGGAGAGAGCAGCCAACAAAACAGUAGCCAGCUGUAGCAAACAGGAAACCCCUCAGGACCUUUUUCCACUUUGGACCUCCAACCGUGAGCUGGGAGCAGCUCCGAAGAGCAAGCACUAUUAUUACUUUACAGAGCCAGACCUAACCCCCAAGAAUUCCUCUUCCCCUGAAAGUAAGAUAAGAGUCUCAUUCCACUCCAAAAUAGUAAAGGCCUGAGGUGUUUUGCCUCAACAUAACAUUUGAGCAAGCAAAAGAUCUCUUGCUCCAUGACUAACCAGCAGUUAGCCUGAAGAUAGCUCUAACCAUCUUUGCCUAUGUGAUCUACAAAAAUACCACCAAUCCCCAACUGAUCUAAGUUUUCCAACUAUGUGUGUAAAAGCUGAAAUCAUGCCGACCUGUGGAAGGGGAUACCAUUCUGCCAUAACCCCAGCUUCUAUCUAGAAAAUGUGAACCUGUCUCCAAUCUAACAAUAUUCAAGCUCAACAGAGUGCCCCAAAACUACUUUGAGACAGACACCCAAAAAGAAGUGACAAAGUGGACUGCACCCCAUAAUGGCUUUGAAGAUUAUCAUGUAUGCUUGUUUUCAAAUAUCCUGCCAUUUCUUUCCAACCAAAGUACCCAUAAGAUAGCAAGCAUAGUUCCAUUUUGUAACAUUCUGAGCCUGGGACUUUUUCCAAGGCCCUUAAAGUAAAUAAUUGUCAUAAUUGUCAUAUUGGUCACAAUUCUAGAAGUAACCCAGGAAACACCAGCUUGAUCAAUCUCAGACAUGACUACAAAGCAACAAGGCAAAGGAAAAACAUGACACAUUAUUUAACCACCCUAUUCUGAGGGCUUCAAGAAGCCUCUAGAUCUGAAGCAAGGCUCUCACUUUCUACCUUAAACUUCCAAAUGAAUUUUAGCUUGAGGGAAUAUAACUGGCAUAUCAUUUUUAUACAGGACAGGCAAGGACUUCAAGGAAAACAACCCUGAGGGAACCAAGAUCCAGAUCCUCUUGUAAGGGAAAUAAAAGGACAAGAUACAUUGGAGACUGAUCUAUAAUAAAAGAGCUAUUGGGGUAUUGAAGGCAAAGAUGUCCCUCUGCCACCACAAAUCCUCCCAUAAUAUAAUUUUGGAAUCAUUGCUAACAAAAUAGUGAACUGAUGAAAGGAGAUGGAGAAGCCCCAAUGAGAUAGCUUUUGAGUGAUUGUGAUGAGACCAUCUUACCACAAGAUUGGCAGCCUGAACAUCAUUAGUGCAGUCAAUAAAUGCUUUCAAUAAUGUAAUGCCGCAACAAGUUGCUGUCCAUAUAAACCUCCAUAACCAUUUUCUUGAUAUUCCUCCUGAGACAUAAUCCCUUUUCAUUCCUAGAAGUACUAACCUCAAUCAACUGUGCUGAGAUUCCUCCUGAAACCUAACCCCUUUUCACUCCUUAAAUACCAACCUCUGUCCAUCUUAUUAAAGGAUCUCCCUUUCCUUCCCUGAACCAGAUCCAAGAAAGUACAUCAGAUUCUCUCAAUUCCAAAAUCAACCCUUGAUAAGAAUUUCGAAAAUAAAUAGAAAUAUGAUACAUGGGGAUAUGGGCAAGGUGUAACUAAACUAGAACGCUCCCACCUAAAGAGAAGAAGGCCUAUUUCCAACCCUCAACAUGCUCAAAGUUAUUUCUGAUAAAGAGUUCCAAAACUGGGCUGCUAGAGUUCCCACCUAAUGAGAAGGUUACCAACAUGCUCAAACUUUUGCUUGGCUUGUGGCUAAUAAGAAGGUUAAUACCAAUGACAUGCUUUACUUGAGGAGGCCUUAUUGUGUUGUGUCUGAAUAGUGAAUCAAUUGAUCCUCUCUUUCUUCAUUGCCCCAUUGCACAAGCACCUUGGCAUAGAUUUUUUGCCAAGCUAAUCUUGAUUUAGUUCCUCCUAGAGGCAUAGCAGAAAUGAUGGGCAUCUCCUUUAAAGGCUUUGGAACCUUCCAACAAGGAAGAUCCUGUUGUAGGUUUUCAUAAUAUCUUUGAUAUGGUCUAUAUGGUUGGAGGGGAAUGCAAGUAUUUUUUAGGACAAACGGAUAUUGUUAGAUGCCAUUUGGGACUUUAUUUACUUUUUCUCUUCCCUUUGGACCUCAAACACCAAGCCUUUUGUUGAAAGAGAGAGAUAUAUAUAUAUACAAGGCUAGGAGUCCUAACUACCAUACAUAUGACCUAUAUUAAUAAGGAAAGAUAGUAUACUAUACAUACAUUAUAUUCAACACUCCCCCUCAAGCUGGAGCAUAUACGUCAUAUGCACCAAGCUUGUUACAAAUAUAUUUAAUCCUAGGACCUCUGAGAGAUUUAGUGAAGAUGUCUGCUAGUUGAUCAUUUGAAUUGACAAAACUUGUAGCAACACAUCCUGAUGCGAUCUUCUCUCUAAUGAAAUGACAGUCAACUUCAAUAUGCUUGGUCCUUUCAUGAAAGACUGGAUUGGAUGCAAUAUGUAAUGCGGCCUGGUUAUCACAGAUGAGUUUCAUCUGUUCAUCCUUUCCAAAUCGCAACUCCUGAAGAAGAUGUCUCAACCAUAUGAGUUCACAUGUUGCCAAAGCCAUAGCUCGAUACUCGGCUUCAGCGCUAGAUCUGGCCACUACAUCUUGUUUCUUACUCUUCCAAGAUAUUAGAUUACCUCCAAUAAAAACACAGUACCCUGAAGUGGAACGUCUAUCUGUGGGUGAGCCAGCCCAAUCUGCAUCUGUGUAACCAACAACUUGAGUAUGACCUCUGUUCUCGUACAAUACACCUUGGCCUGGUGUACUUUUGAUAUAUCGAAGAAUACGGAUUACGGCAUCCCAAUGGCUAUCACAUGGUGACUGUAGGAAUUGACUAACAACACUCACAGGAAAAGAAAUGUCUGGACGAGUAAUGGUGAGAUAGUUCAAUUUACCUACGAGUCGUCGAUAUCUCCCGGGGUCUCCUAAAGGCUCCCCCUGUCCUGGUACAAGUUUGACAUUCGGAUCCAUAGGUGUGUCUACCGGUUUACAGUCUAACAUACCGGUUUCUUCCAGGAUGUCUAAAGCAUACUUCCUUUGGGAAAGGACCACACCAGAACUAGAUUGAGCUAUCUCAAUUCCCAAGAAAUACUUGAGUUUCCCCAAGUCUUUGGUCUGAAAGUGGGUAAAAAGAUGUUGCUUUAGUUUCUGUAUACCAUCCUGAUCACUGCCUGUAAUGACGAUGUCGUCCACAUAAACAACCAGAUAAAUACACUGCCCCAAGGAGUUAUGAUGAUAAAAAACUGAAUGGUCUGCUGUACUGCGAAGCAUGCCAAACUCUUGAACAACAGAACUAAAACGGCUAAACCAUGCUCGAGGAGAUUGUUUCAAGCCAUAUAGAGAACGGCGUAACCUGCACACUAAACCAGACUCCCCCUGAGCAACAAAACCAGGAGGUUGCUCCAUAUAAACUUCCUCGGCAAGAUCACCAUGAAGGAAGGCAUUUUUAAUAUCCAACUGAUAAAGAGGCCAAGAACACAUAGCAGCCAUGGAGAGAAGCAAGCGGACAGAAGCAAUCUUGGCAACAGGGGAGAAUGUGUCACCAUAAUCAGAACCAUAAACUUGAGUAUAGCCUUUAGCAACUAAGCGGGCCUUAAGGCGAUCAACCUGACCAUCAGGACCAACCUUAACUGCAUAGACCCAACGACAACCAACUGUAGAUUUACCAGGGGGUAAAACAACAAGAUCCCAAGUGCCAUUAGAGUGCAGAGCAGCCAUUUCAUCCACCAUUGCCUGUCGCCAGCCUGGAUGGGAAAGAGCUUCAUGGGUGCUCUUGGGAAGAGAAACAGAGGAUAUAGCAGAAACAAAAGCAGAAUAGGGUGAAGAUAAUCGAUGAUAACUCAAAAAAUUGUAAAUAGGAUGAGGAUUACGAGUAGAGCGAGUACCUUUCCGAACAGCAAUGGGUAAGUCAUUAGGAGAAGGCAGAGCCGGGGCAGGUGAAGCCGAAGGGAUAGGAAGUGAGUCAGCAGGUGCCUCAGGAAAAGGGAGAGGAGCAACGACACGAGGACGACGAUGAUAAACCUGAAGUGGUCGAGGGGGCAUAGCUUCAGGUGGGGAGACAAUGGGAAUGGGCAAGACUUCAGAAACAGGAAGAGACUCAGAAGUGGUGGAAAAGAAGGGUGAGUCCUCAAAAAAGGUGACAUCAGCGGAGAUAAAGUACCGAUGAGUCUCAAGGGAAUAACAACGAUAACCCUUCUGAAGUCUGGAAUAUCCCAAGAAGAGGCACUUCAUGGCUUUGGCGGAAAGCUUGUCCUGUCCAGGAGUGAGAAUAUGAACAAAGCAAGUACAACCAAAGACACGAGGAGGAAGGAAAUAAAGUGGUUGGUCAGGGAAAAGAAGGGAGUGAGGAAUCUGAUCAUGUAAGACAGAGGAGGGCAUACGAUUAAUCAAAUAACAAGCGGUAAGAACAGCGUCCCCCCAAAAGCGAAAAGGAACGUGACUAUGGAGGAGGAGAGUACGAGCUGUCUCAACAAGAUGUCGAUUCUUGCGUUCAGCUACCCCAUUUUGUUGAGGAGUAUGAGCACAAGAAGACUGAUGAAGAAUCCCAUGAUGAGACAUAAACGAAGUAAAUUGGGCUGAAAAAUAUUCCCUGGCAUUGUCACUGCGUAACACACGAAUAGAAAUAUUGAACUGGGUUUGGAUUUCAGUAUAAAAUUUCUGGAAAAUUGAGAAUAACUCAGCUCGAUUUUUCAUUAAAAAUAACCAAGUACAUCGAGAAUAGUCAUCAAUGAAAGUGACAAAAUACUGAAAUCCUAAAGUAGACGCAGUCCGACAAGGACCCCAAACAUCAGUGUGAACAAGCUCAAAAGGAGACUUUGCCCGAUUAUUCAAACGCUUUGGGAACGAGACACGAGUAUGUUUCCCAAGCUGACAUGACUCACACGGAAGCGACGACAAAGUGGAAAAACGAGGAACCAUCUUCUGGAACUUGGAGAGACUAGGGUGGCCCAGACGAUUGUGAAUGAGGAGAGGAGCAUCAGUGGAAAUGCAAACUGCAGGAGAUGAAUCUGAGGUGAGGUGAUAGAGGCCUUGAGACUCACGUCCUAUGCCAAUCGUCUUCCCCGUACUCCGGUCCUGCAAGGUCACAAAUUUAUCAGAAAAUGUAAUAGAGCAAUUAAGAGUACGAGUGAUUUUGCUGAUGGAAAUAAGAUUAAAAGGACAUUCAGGAGUAUAAAGGACAGAAGUGAGAGGUAGAGAAGGCAGAGGAAGGGCCAAACCAAUACCUUUAGCCACAGUUUGAGAACCAUUAGCUAAGGUAACAGUAGGUAAAUCAGAGGUAGUAGUAAUAGAGGAGAAAAGAUCCUUAUUACCAGAUAGGUGAUCAGAUGCUCCAGAAUCUAGAAUCCAGGGUCCAAGAGAAGAUGUGUGGGUAAGGCAGGCAGAGGCAUUACCAGGCUGGGCAACAGAGGCAAUAGAAGCCUGAGAUGUCUGAGAUGCGGAGGAGCUCGGAGGCUGAGGCAACAGAGAAUCAGAGGACUGGGCCAUAUGGGCAGUGCGAGGAGGUCUUCCAUGUAACUGAUAGCAACGAUCGCGAGUGUGGCCAAGUUUAUUGCAAUAGGUGCAUUGAGGACGUUGGCCUCUACCUCGGGUACCACUGCGUCCUCCUCGAGAGGUAGUUUGAGAAACUAACACAGAAGAAUCUGAAGCGCUAUCAGAUGUCAAAGUCUGAGUGGACGAGAUACGCAGGAGGCGAGCAAACACAUCAUCCAAGGACGGAACUGAUGAACUGCCAAGAAUCUGAUCACGAAUAGGCUCAAGAUCCGGACGGAGGCCAAUAAGAGUAAGAACCAUGAAGAACUUGUCAAGUUGUGUUUGUUGAGCCCCAACAUCAGGAGUAAGAGGCAUCACAGUCAGGAACUGCUCCUUAAGAGAGGCAAUCUGACCAAUAUAAGUAGAUAGGUCCAAGUCCUGUUGGCUGAGAUGGACAAUAGCAGAAGCCACCUUAUAAAGACGCUGGAUAUCAUUCGUGUAUAAUCCUUUGGCCUGAGUCCAAAACUUAAAACAAGUUUUAUAGGCCUGAAGAUGAAGAAGAAUCCGGGGAUCAACCGAUUGCCAUAAUACACUACAUAACUGUGCAUCUAUCUUCCGCCACUGUACGCGGUCAACCUCAGGGAUAUCUGCCUCCUGGGUAACCAAGUGAUCCUCAUAUCCUUGACCCAUAAACCAAAGUUCAACAGAAGCAAACCAGGAGAGAUAAUUCUCACUGCCAACCAAUUUCUCUGAGGUAAUCAUAGGAGAUCCAGAGAUAACAGAGGUAAAGAUCUGAUUUUUGGUGGUCAUAUUCACGUAUUUGGAUCGAAGAGAGCCCUAAGAUGGGUUCAGAUUUCGGCGGAGAGAGAAAAAAAGUGAAACCACGGCUGUGAGAGGUGCAAUCAAUGGAGAAAAGGUUCGUGACGUGCCUGGAGAGGAAGAGAAGCAGCACCCAAGCCUCGGAGAUGGAGGGGGAGCCCUGUCGGAGGUGGCCGGAAUGGCAAGAAAGCCAAAAACAGGGAAAAAAAUGGAGAUGCAGGGCUCGGGGAGGACUGCCGGGGGGCUAGAAGGCCAAGACGGCGCCGGACGAGCCUGGAGAGGUGUCGGAAGUGGCCGGAAUAUGCCUCACGCGCCCCCACGCGCUGGCGCGUGAGAUGCAGCCGCCGACCGAAAAUCGCGCGUGGACGGCGCGUGGCUCCUCUUUUGGUGCUGGUGUCUUCACAAAAGGUGGAGAUCUCCUCCAGGCGCUCCUUCUGGUAUGGUCGGUGUCGGAAAAAUAGGUCGCCGGAAAGUUCGCCGGAAAGUUCGCCGGAAAAUUUCACCGGAAAAUUUCGCCGGCGGUGAGUGGUUUCUAGCGACGAUCCGACUGACCGGAAAGUAUUGGGAGAUGGGAAAGGUGACCGGAAAGAAACACGGUGACCGGAAAGAAACACGGUCACCGGAAGGUUUCCCGGAGUUGAUGACACGGAAAAACAGGAAAGAAUUAGGUUUUCUUCCUUGGCUCUGAUACCACGUUGAAAGAGAGAGAUAUAUAUAUAUACAAGGCUAGGAGUCCUAACUACCAUACAUAUGACCUAUAUUAAUAAGGAAAGAUAGUAUACUAUACAUACAUUAUAUUCAACACCUUUUGCAGAUAUUCCUUUGAUUCUUUUCAUGUUGGAUUGGAAAAAUGUUUGCUUCUCAAACAGGUCAAGGAAGAAAAUUGUGAUUGGUUGGUCCUCCCCUCUAGUAGGUUUAGUAAAGUUAAACUUUGAUGGAUCUUCCUUGGGUAACCUUGGUCAAAUAGGUAUUGGAGGUGUGAUUAGAGAUCACUCUGGCAGAGAUUUUGGCAUUGUCGGAGGGUUUGUUGCAGGCAAAAGCUUUAGGCCUCUCCACCCUAACUAUAGAGGGAGAUUCUACUACUAUUAUAUCUUAGGUCAUUAUUUUUUAUUUUUUAUUUUUUUUCUGAUACGCAAAUUUUUGUUACCAUUAGGACUUGAACCUAGAACCUCCCCAUCCCUAUACCACUUGAGCUAGGCCUCAAGUGCAUGGAAGUUUGACAAUUGGAUAUGCAAAAUAUUGGAUGUUGUCAAUGAGCUAGGUUGCUCCCUCUCUUGGGUUCCUAGUUUAGCAAAGCAAGUCACAAACUAGUUAGCUAAAAAAGGAGCAAUGCAUUUGGCCUUCUUUGUUAGAGACCUUCUUCCCUCUUGAGUGUGCUAUAUUUCUCUCCUUCAUAUUUUUUCUCCCUAGCGAGGCUUGACACUUGGUUACUUUUUAACCUUUUUGUGCAUCCUUAAAGGCUUGUUUGUCCUUCUUGUACUUUCCUUUUUAAGAUAAAUGAAGAAGAUUGUUUCUAUUUAAAAAAAAAAGAUAAAAAAGAAAAAAGGAUUCCCAUCUAAUAGAAAACCUAGAUGAGAAAUGAGCCAACCAUUCGACCCACAUUCCACGAAGAUGGUGAUCUUUGUGGAAAUCUACCAAGAUGAUCCCGAUACACAGUAAUACAGCUAGCACACUUUAGCCCAAAAUGAUCUUAGGGCGAAGCAAAAUAUAAAUCAUAAGUAACAAAUAAAUAGAAAGAAAGAAACCUCUAGCUAUCAAAGCUCUUAUACCAUGUUAAGCUACCAAUUAGGAAGUGAUCUAACAAUGUAUAUUAGACAAACAAUAAAAAUAAAAGGAAAGAGAGGAUCUCCCAUCUAAGAUCCUUGAGGCCUUUAACCAUUUUUUUUAAUCAAAAAACAAACAUGUCAUUUCAAUUAGUAAGAAGUAGACAAGGAGGAUGCAUUAUUCUUUCACAAUGUACAAUCUAAACCCAAAAGGAAAAGAAAGAAAGAAACACACACACACACACAGAAACUCCCUAAAAGAGAAACAAAACAAUCUACAAACUUGAGAAAGGUUACAAUAAAACAGCUCAAAUAACUAUUAGGUAUGGCUCAAGGAGACAAAAGAUCUCCUAAAAAAGCCACCUUCAGCUUUGCUCCUUGUUUGGCUAAAAGGUAUGCCACUUGAUUGGCUAAGCAAGGAACCUAAGAAAAAGAAUAUCCGAUCUCUAUAAAAAUAUUAUAAAAAAAAAUUGUGUGUGUUACCCAUCAAAUUUCCAUGGCCCUCUUUCCUUCUUAGCCGUUGAUGAAUUGACAAUAAUGUAGUCUCCCUUCACUACAAGGUUGGAGAGACCCAAAAUUUUGGCCUACAACAAGCCCUCUAGAAGAGCUGGAGUCUUGGUCUCAUAAGAAAAACCUUCGCAUGCAAGUUUGGAAAAGGCUUUUAUCAUUGAACCAUAAUGAUCCCUAAGCACUCCACCACUUGAGGCCUCUAGCCAUCUCCUUGCUCUACCAUUAAUGAGAAUAGUGAGGCUAAAAGAGAAGCAACCUCAAACUCAUAUACCUUAUCUAGAACUAAACCCUUUCCUGAAAAAAGCAUGGCCUAAAAAGCUAACAAGGUGGUGGUAAGCUUUUCGCAAAUCAAUCUUAAACUACCCCCUCUUCCUCUGAGUGAAACAUUUCAUUCGACCAAUUUAUUAGCAAUCAACACAGCAUUCAAAAUCUGUCUAACCCUAACAAAAAAGCUCCAUGUGAAGGGAAGCCUCUUUUGGAUUGAUCUCCAUAAACAUUUGGAGAGGACCUUGGUGAAGAUCUUUGUCUCCCAACCACACUGAAAUCUAUAAUACUAUUAGCAGACUCGCUUGGAAACAAGAAGCAAUAAAGAUAGCACUGUUACUUUUACUAAAAACGCUACUAUUUUAAAACCUUUAAAAUAUUUUGUUAGGUUCUCUCUCACCAAAUACAUCCAUACCAUAAAAUCAAGACUUCAUGAAUAUACCUUUUAGCUUCAAAACAAAUAAAGCAGACCUUUAAUAGUUCUUCACUUUUGGAGCAAGGCAAAACCAAAGAAAUCUUGGACAAAGAAAAAACUAAAGCACAAAUAUGUCUCACUACCUCAAAAGUGAAGAAGAAUUUGCCAAGGUUUUAAAUUAUUUUAUUAUAUUUCACUCUUUAUUUUUAUUUUUGCAUGAGUAGCAUCAAACAUGAGCAUCUUCCAAUAUUGUUUCCCAUGCCAAAACAGGACUAACAUCUGAUGGUCCAAAAGAACCCUAAACAGCACUGAAACAAGGGUAAUCGAACCAUAAAUAAUGAAGAGAAAUGAAAAGUGUUUCUAUAAUAGAUUGUAAACAUGUGUUAAUCUUUUUUUUUAUAAGUGAGUGUUAAUCUUUAAUCUCCUCCUCAGAGAAUAGCACUCCAACCACAUCAAGUUCUUUUUGGAUAUGGAGACCAAUCUAAACGUUCAAUCCUUCAAUUAGGAUUAUUCCUCUUUCAUGAAGCUGGUUUGUAAAAAUACAAAAACAUCCAAAAAAUACUAUCUUGAUCAUCUAGCACCAACUUUCCAAAGAUAUCCAAGAACCCAACAUCCUUAAAAUUGCAGCUUUCUUCUCACUUAAAUCUGCAAAAGUAUCUAUAUUCCAUUCUUUGAACUUAAUUUUGACAAACCUAAGCUAUUGCAUAAACUUAUGCUCUUCCUACUCAUCACACUGUGCCUUUCUUCGAUUCCCAGACUGAACCCCUAAAGCCGGGUGAUAAAGCCACAUGCUCUCAAAUCGAAAAAGAGUUUGCCUCCAAUUGAUUGGAUAGAGUUCACUACUACAGGAGAGUGAUUAGCAGUUGGACUUGGAAAGGCUUCUUGAAGGAUAUGAGGGAAUCUAGAUUCCCAAUAUGUUUUAGGAAUUUUGCAAGGUGCUUUUCAACAACAACAACAACAAUAAUAGAGCACCUUGCAAAAUUCCCAAUACAUUUUGGGAAUUUUUCAAUAAAUAAUAAUUAAAAAAAUGAGCUUUCCCACAUGUGUGAUCAGGUAAAGAGAGUGUCUCCAGGAGAGAGGGAGCUGACAAGCCCAUUCUCUUAAAACAAUCGUUCUUAACUUCCCAAACAUUUUUCAGAAGCAACUUAUCAAUGAGUUCUAAUUUAGCUCCUUUAAAAAGAUAACAUUCAAAGGGAUCGAUAAUAUUGUACCUCCUUUGUUUUUAGACGAUUGUCCUUUGACUUUAGUGAGUUUCUUUCAUUGGUUGGGCACUUGUUGAGGCUCUAUUUCUUUUGGGUUUUUCUCCUGUUUGAGCCUUGGUAGUAGAAGGAAGUUUGUUUCUUGUAUACCUUGGGUCGCUCUUUUGGCGGCUCUUUUUAAUUCAUAAUAAGAACAUUGCACCUCUUUCCCCACCCAACCCAAUCAUCAUCACAAGAUUCACAACAGCAAAACCCAAAGACAAAACCAACUAAACGCCAAACCCAAGUUUAUGAAUCUUAGAGAAUCAAAGUCAUCUCCUCAAGUAGACUUUAAUCUUUAAUUUGAAUUAGCACAUCUAUACACUUUAUUGGAGGGGGUAAUUUUUAGGUAGGCCCUCUUUGAGGAGUAGAUAAAACUAAGAUACAUUGCAACAUCAAGGACCAGACAUUGAAUAUUCAAUAGGACUAAGACCUUAGAUAGGGGUUAAGACAAAGCAGAGGAAAGAAGGGUUGUGGUUGGGGGUAGUGUGGGGGUGGAUUUGCUUAUGGUGUAGGAGAGGCAGUCACCACCAAAUUCCCACAGGAGGGAAAAGCUUUCCUAGCAAAAAUGAGAUGGUCCUGUGAAAAGGGCCUUCAUUUAGGCAAGAGUUGCUAAUAGCAAAAGGUACCACUUUUCAUACAGCAAUAGAAUCAGCACCAUUGUGAUUAGAUAAGGGUCAAAUACCAAGAAAGGGAGACAAAUUAGGUAAAGGAUUUGUUUAAGUGCCUAGCAGAGAGAUUAGCAAAGAGGAGAGCAACUUUCCAUUAACGGCCAAAUAGUAAUCAAAGUCCAAGGUUCCAUCCAAAACCAACCAUCACCACAAUCGUGGUGACAACCUUCGAGAAAAAUACUUGAUUGGACAUCAAAAAGACGGAACAGCUUGCAACCUUAGAGCACUUGACCCUUGUCCUACUCCAGAUAAAUUCAACCCAAAAUUUAGACUGACCAUGUCGUUCCAAGUUCCAACAGCAGUUCUGCCUACAAGGGUAUCCUAACCUUAAUUUGCCUUCAUCCUAGCAGCACCUUAGAAGAAGGUAAGGCUUUAUUGACAUAAAACAAACCUAUUGCUUCCAACUUUACCUUUUCCAUCACUCAAAGUGCCACUCACAGGAUCUAAAAAGGAGAACCUCAACUCUCUGCCAAUUCUUUGUUGUGAGAUAUGACAACAGGCAGAAGGGGGCCUUGGGCCACACUCAAUGGGAUUUUAAGCAAAAGAUCCUUUCUGUGCCCCUUUCACCAACCUGCCAGUAACUGGACACUUGUUCAUUUCAUAAACUUGGCCUAGAGAUUAGUAACACUCAGGGCCUAGGUCCAGUGAGGCAAGUCUCUGAAGUCUUCAUAAAUGCUAAUACAUGUCUACUAUUCCUUUUUCCCCUUCCACAUGGGAGGUCCAAUACCUCAAACUUAGACCCAGCUCCCCAAAAAUCUGAACUUGAAAAAGAUGCCUUCCACCUAUAUUAUAAAUUUUGUUCAGGCAUGCCACAAUACUGUUUCUAGCCAGCAUCCCCUUGCCCCAUCUAUCAAGUUAACAUGAGCAGUGCAACAUAUGGGUGAGUUGGAUUCAUCAACCUAGUCCACUCAAACAAGGAGAAACAAGACCUUGACCCCCAGCAACUGCAUUAUCAUUGUAAAUUUCAAAUACCCAUCCCUACCUCACUUACAGGUUGUUUACUUCAUAGGGAUUUCCCCUCUUAGUCUUGCUUUGGACAAAUAGAUGAGCUUCAACAAACAAUAAUCAAUCUCACCAACAUUUCCCUUGUUCCAGCCAAUUCCCAGAAGAAUUUCUCUGGCCAAGUGAAAUGGGAAGCCUCUCGGCUCAAUUCAGCCAUAGCAGAAAGAACCAUAUAGAACUGAAUUUGCUUUCAGAACCUACUUCUGAAAAAAAAAAAAAAAAAAUCAAAUCUUUAUUCUUCAAAGCACUCACUCAGAUAACCUGCAAACUCUCAAUUAAGAGAUCGCCUUUUGCUGGUGAGAACACCUAAUGUCUCUGCAUUUGCUUUUCUAAUUGACAACCACUCAUUCAAAUAAAAGGAUUCUUACAAAUAACAACCCUAUCUCAAAUGCCAAACAUGCAAGAAGGAGAACACUGCCUUUCUGAUAAAUCUCUUUAGCUUUUGGUUCCCCUUUGGCCCACAUCACAAUUCACACCUCUUCAACAAGUCUAUAUAAGGCAACAAAAAAUAAUCAAGCAGUGGAUUUUAAAUCUGCCAUUGUCACUAGACCCUUCUGUAUCAACACCAAGUAUGAUCUUCAGUACAACUUCAUAAAUGAUAUCCAAACGAAAUCCUCAUUGUUGUUAGGACUAAACCCAUAUCCAUAUCCUACUAACAUCAUCAUAAGUCAUAAGCCACUACUUGUCUAUGCCUAUCAUUUUUUUUUUUGAUAGGCAAACACAGAAAUAUAUUAGAAAAGGGCACCUUGAGGCUAACCCAAAAGCAUACAGGGGGUAUACAAGAGGCACCUUAAGGCACAAAAAAAAGAAGAGAAGAUACAAAACCAUCCCUCAACUAGCGCCUAGCCAAUCAAAAAAACUAAGUAAAGGAAGAGGACCUUCAUUUACAACCGACUUAGUCCACGACCAAAGAUUACAAACAAAAUGAUUUUUCAACCAAUGAAUCGAAAAUUCCUCAUUAUCAAAAGCAAUCCUAUUUCUUUCCUUCCAAAUCGCCCAAAAAAGACACAAAGGGGCUGCCUUCCACACCUUUCUAAGCUUCUUGCCCAAGUUAAAGCCACACCAUCCAAUAAGGGUAUCUCUAACCGAAAAAGGAAGGACCCAAGUAACUCCAAAAAGAGCAAACAAUAACUCCCAUAAAACUCUUGCCCUAGUGCAAUGAAUAAGAAUAUGAUCAAUUGACUCUUUUUCCUCACAGCAAAGGAAGCAUCUAUUAGCAAGAAUCUGGCCCCUUUUUUUAAGCUGAUCCAAAGUAAGCACCUUACCCCAAGAUGCCUCCCAAGCGAAAAAGCUCACUUUGGUAGGCACACAAGGACUCCAAAUCAUACCAUUAGGAAUUGAUCAACUCUUCUUGAAGCUAGAUCAUUAUAAAGGGAUUUAACUGAGAAAAUCCCAUUCGAAGUCUCUUUCCACAGCAUUCUAUCUUCCAAAAGAGGAAUAAGCCUCCUUCCCUCCACCUCCCAAUCGUUGAAGGACUUAGAGGGCUUAGAGAAUCUAGGACUCCAAACCCCUUCCUCUCCCGAAGGAUCCCAAAACUCCACUACCCAAGCCUAUUAUGACACCCAUCACUCAUGAAAACAGAGCUCUGUCUACUCCCUGCUUCAUAAUUCAUAUAUCAGAAGUAGUAUGUAAAUGUAUUUUCUUCAAAGAGGAAGUCCCUCACACCAACACAGGGGUCAUGCAUUAAUGGAGUUAAAAGCUAUUCAUUUAUUUCCAAAGCAAUUUUGGAAUACAUAACAUUUAGUUUCAAACAUCAAACCCUAUGAAACACCAGUAUGUGCAGAGCAUAUCCGUUAAAAUGUUACCAAUAAUCUAUGAAGUGAUAUAUUUGGCUAAAUGACAGUUUCACACACACAUAUACAGAGCAGUGUAAUUAUUAUGUGAGAUUUAAAAUAUAAAAAAAACUUUUUGAAUGAUUAAAAAGAAUAAAGAUGUGAAAUGGUGAAGCCGUCAUAUUCUAAAUUCUAUCAUGUUAAGACAAAAGUACUCUGUUGAAGUUUCAAGGGAUAUUUAAAGUGUUCUAAAGUCCAGGGAAAGGGGUUAGACUAGAUCAUAAUCAAGAAAAAGACAUUGUAACCUGCCUUAUAAUUUCAACCGUAUAUUACUGUGGGACCAGAUUUCAAGACUCUCAAGAAGCACAAACUUUAGGAUAUCAGACGUAAUAAACCAACCUCUAUUAAGUACUUCUGUUUAGGAGCUUUUGGUUGACCACCAGCAGGAGAGCUGUGGGACUGAUCACUCCUUAGAAGUACAGGAUUACUCAUCUUGCUAGCUGACUUGCUUUGAGAUUCAUCACGAGCUCGUUUCCUUUUUCUGUCCAGUGGCUUUGCAACCGCCACCUGUUGACCCACAAAAUUUGCAUCUUGUUAUGGUGCAUCUCAAAGAAAGAAAUAGCUUUUUAAAUUUUAAUGGAAAGAUUGAGCAGACUACAGCAGGAGGCUCGUGGUUUAACUUACCUGAAGCUUAAAUGCAGGACCUCUACUAGGACCUUGAACUGUCUUUUCAUUCAUUUCCUUGAUUGCAUUGUCAAGAUCCUAUAAAAAGAAAGAAACAAAGUCACUUGAGAAGCCAUAACCAAAAUUAUGAAAAGACAAACCCCUGAUGUUUCUUACUAGAACAAUAUCAAAGGGCAACAUAUCACCUUUGGGGCGCUUUUAUCUUUUAAUAUACAUUUUUCUUUAGCCAAAAUAUAUAUAUAAUCUUUUUGAGGUCGACAAUCAUACAUUACAUAAAAAAUAAAAAAAAUAAAAAAAAAACAAAGAAAUUUUAAAAAAAUAGUAAUAAUAAUUUAAAAAAAAACAAAUAUAGCAAAGAGUAUGAGAAAUAUCCCAAAUUAAAUAUCAUUUAGAAGCAAUAUUCCAUCAAUCAAAUUUUAUAGUGAUCAUAACCAUAAUUUUAUACAAAAGUAACCAAUGAUGAGGUUGAAAUUAUAUUCUCAUAUGUCCAAUUUAUAGCAUUGCCUGUGUAGGAAUAAGAUCUUAACCCUACAGUGCUACACCUGGUGUCCACUCAAAGCAAUACAAGUCAAUGGUAAUGGGAUGGUAAGGCAUUGAAUUCAGCAAAAUCACCAUGUCCAACUUUCUCAAAUACUGUCAAAGGGACAAGUUGGGAGUUUCAGAAUAAGUCCAAGGGUGUUCUAAGUGAAAUUGGCUUGGUUCAAGAAAGGACAAGUCAUUGCAGCAAUGCAGCCUUUCUGGCAAACAAAUGGUGUACAUCAAGCAAAGUGGCCAUUAACAGCCCUUAAGGUAGGAUUGAUACGCCUCUUGGUGUACUGGAGCAAUGGCAAGCAUAGGUGUGCUUAGUGCAAGGUGCACCUAAGUUGGCAGUAAGAGGCAUGCAGCAUGCACAGGUCCACCAGCAAGCAAAAAGUACUUAGGAGGCAUAGACUGUGCACAAGCAGGCAGACCCACAAGUGCACAGGACAUAGCGGCAAGGGGGUGCACACAGGUGCACGAACCUGGGUGCAACACGUGCAACAUGAGCAGGCACUGCAAUGACAUGGGGCUCAACACUUGAUGAAAAUUCAAGUGUCAAAUUUUUUUAAUAUUUUGUCCUCAUUACUAAUAAUUCAGAUCAGUUUUGAAGUUGAGAUUCCUCCAAAUUAUUUUUCUAAAUUUUAUUAUAAUUCCUGGAAAACCAUCAUGUCGAUUGAAGUAUAGUGGAUAUCUCCUCCGUAAGGGUGGGGGGUUGUAAUGUUCAAAAUAGUCAUUGAACACCCUAAGGCCUUGACAAGUGUUCGUUGGCACUUAGCAGACACACGCAUGGGCAUCAUGCCAUGUGCUUCAAUUGGCAUAGACCAUGGGCACAAGCCAUGGCACCAUGCACCUCAAUAUUGGUUGAGACAUAGUGGCAUACAAUGGCAUGCAAGAUGAACCUCAAACAUCAAGUAAUGUCAUGGGGGUAAUACCAUGCUGGGCCUCGCGAUAUGGGCAACCACCCAAAGGCCAUGGAGACAAUGCCAUGGUGCAUCAAUCAUAAGCUAGGCAUGACACCCACGUUAAGGCAUGUAGAAAAAUAUUAGCGGCACACAAUGAUGCACUAACAAAAGGUAAGGAGCUGUAUGCUAGUGCCUAUGCAAGAAGGUGGUUGGCUGCAUGCAAGGCACAGUUGGGGGCAUAUUUGCUGAUUGGCUGAAGGCAAUGGGCUGCAAAGGCACAACACACCAAGGGCUCAUUUGAGUGCAAGACCCAAAGGAAAAGGAGUCAUGAUUCAACAGUUGCACAGUUUUGGUGGGUUAAAUAACUCCCAAACUUCCCCCAAAUGACAAGAAUAGUUAUCAGAAUUUGGUUAGAUAACUUAAAUGGGCAGUUAAUUGUAUCUAAUUGUAACCAGGAUGGGUAUAUAUGCUCAUGUAACAGCUCAAUGUGCACAAGGGGGAAUUUGUCUUGUGAGAGGCAAGGAGUGCAGUCAGAAAUUUGUAUCUUGUAUCAAGUUGAGUCAAUACAAGCUGAGAAAUUUGUUCCUGUAAAAUUCCAACAGUGUAUCUUUCAUUGCUUUGCCUAGAAAAAUCACAUAGAAAAAUGCCACACGUUUACACACAAAAAAGGGAUAGUUUUGUGUGUGGAUCUUUCAUCACAAAGUAGAGCACUCGGGAAAACCUAGGGAGAACUUUUACAGUUACACCAUCACCACAUGUCACUCGUUUGAAUGCACAAUGAGAGGCUCCCUUAGGUAAAGAAUAUAGGUUUUGAUUAAUACAAUGAAAGUCCAAAAGUAUUGUUUUAUUGACAGCCAAUAGCAAGCCCACAUUUUCCAGAAAAUGAAGAAAAUGGGAGCAUAAAAAUUAUUGUGGAAACAAUUGAACAUAGAGAUAUAAACUAAGUCCCUGAAAAAAGUGUGGUGUACACUAUAACCACAUACCAUCCAUCAGUGUGAUGCAUGACAAAGGCUCCCUGGAGUACAAAUUGUGUUUUGAUAAAAAUGAUGAGCUCAGACGUAUUGUUUUAUUGAGAGUCAACGGCAAGCCCAAAUCUCCAGAAAAUGAAGGAAAAUCAGAGAAAAGAAAUCAUUUUGGAACUAUUCAUGGAAAUUGGUAAAUGACACAGAGAGAGAGAGAGAGAGAGAGAGAGAGAAAGAGAGAGUACUGAGCGUUUAGCAAAGUGGACAAACCCAACUGGGGAUUGACCCUUCUUCGAUAAUAGCACUUUUUCCACCUGAAACAGAUGAAUGUACUCAAUCAGAAUUCCAGAAGUAAUUUUUGCUUUAUUUUCUUUAUGAACAAAUCAAGGUCAAUUUCACAUUUCAAACCUUCCCAAAUGGUCCAAACAGUUUCUUCAAGUAGUCUUCAUUAGCAUCUUUUGGAAGAUUUCCAACAAAUGCUAUCGUUAUCUGAAGUCCAACAAACCAAGUAAAAUAAGCUACAAACUGAUAAGAAUAUACAAAGGAACAUACAGUUAAUGUACAAAUGACAAUGAGUGAUGCACCUUAGCAAGUUCUUCAGGAUCAAUUUCAGGCUCCUCAGCCCAUUCCACAACUGGAUGCCAACUGUCACCAAGUAAAAAAUCUGAUUUGGAACCCAUCCGGUGUGCGCGUGCCGCAGCCUGUGAUUGAGAAUUUCCAAGGAGGGGGGAUCAAAUUCCUAGAGGCUAGAAUGGUAUGUUCAUGGAUCUGAUAAGCCCUCACAUGAUUAUAUUCGUAGUCAAGAUGCACAAACUCGACAAAAGUUCAGAGAUUUAAGCAAAAUAGCUGUUGGCAAUGAUGCAGGAUGGUUCCAUCAAUGCACAAGAUUUUCAGGGAGAAGGAAUGGUUAAGGCAUGGUUAAAUUGAAUUAUAGAUAGUCAUUGUGGCAUGAUUUCCAGUAGUUCGAUAUGGUGCAAUCCACAGUUCACUUUUGGAAUGAAUAAUACAUAUGUGAGAGUAUAAUAGUUUUGACCAACAUAUGAUUCUAAAGAGGGACAAAAUGAGUAUGAGUACCAAUUAAAACGUUGAAUCUCUUAUUGAUAAAUGGUAAAGAUUGAAGGAAAUUUGAGCAAGUUCUUGACAUGCUGAAAAAUUGAAGUAGCUAAAACGUAAACAAUCUUUAAUAAGGGUAAAUUUGAGCAAGUUCUUGAUAUGAUGAAAAAUUGAAGUAGCUACAGGGUAAACAAUCUUUAAUAAGGGUAACUAAAAGAUUGUGACCCAAAUCUAUAAAAAAAAAAUUGUGACCCAAAAUCACAUCAUUUAGCAAUUGUAUAAUAUGAUGAGACAACUUAGGGAAAAUAGAUUGAAAAAAUAAGAAGGCCAUGCUGAGCCAGUUGAGCAUGGAAUAAAUCUUGAUCAAAAUCAUUCCUGCAAAUUGGUACAGAUUCCUAGGCAGCUAUUCUAUAUUCACCUAUUAGUAAAGCCAAUGAGUUGUAAAUAGUUCAAAAUUAAUGCAAUUCUUAAAGUGAUCAUAAUGCAACUGCAUGCCAAGAAGUGCUGGGUAAAUUGGAGAAUCAAAAUAUUAAGAUAUUAAGCAAGUCUUCAGCACCAUUGAUUGUGGAAAAAAGGUACAUGAAAGGAUGAAGGGUCCUCCCCACAAUUUACAAGAAACUAAUCAAAAUAUGACUAAACUCCUCCACUAUACAAGAAGACCUAUAUAAUAUGUUUUAGUCCACUAAAGGAUAUACAUAGGUGUCAUCUCCUCAAUUCCAGACCAAGCUCCCCGCAUUGCUAUCUAAACCCUCUUAUUUACAUACUGAAUGCCAACUGAACUGAAUAACAUUGAAAGGAAUACCUUUAAAGGCGUUGGUACACCAUGCCUCCUCUUUAGUCAUUUGGAAUUUUAACCGUCAGCCUAAUUUAACAAAUCCAUGUAUUGUCUUUACACUUUGGUCUUAUUUAAUUAUCGUGCACUUAUAUGCCUCUUUCCCAAUAAGAGAAUUUGGUCUUUGAUUGUCUAUAGGAUGUUUUUCAGCUCAUUCUUUUUACUAUGCCCUCUCUUAUUUAUGUCAUCCCUAGAUUUUCUCCCUCACCAUAUUUAUCUAGAAUGCCAUAGCCCUCUAAGAGUCAAUCAUUUCUUUUUAUAAGAAAAUAAUGCAAAUAUAGUAAAAGGGACCAAAAGACGACGUAACAGAGUCGAGCAUUUUGAUCAAUUAGUAGCAAAUAAAAGGGUUAAUAUUAAUGGCAUAUUGUAGUUAAGGAGACUUGGUAAGGCUCUCUACUCUAAUUGUGUGUUAUGUACCUAGCACGAAGCAGGGUUUUUAAACAAUUUUGACCCAAAAAAAUGGUGUUUCGAUGGG